CACCCGACAACAGCCAAAUCAAACAUAUUUUCAAAAACCAAACGAUUUUCUUGACUGGGGGAACAGGGUUUUUGGGCAAAGUCAUGAUUGCAAAACUAUUAAGAGACUGUGAAGAUAUUAAAAAGAUUUACUUGCUGCUACGGUCCAAAAAAGGGAAGACCACUGAGCAACGCUUUGACGAAAUUUUUGAGCAGCCUGUGAGUAUUGACAGUUUUCUUAAAAUAUUGUACAUUCUGUUCAAUGUUUUGAGUUCUUAAAAUUAAAAACUUGCAACUGGAAGGAAAAAGUUUCGCUGGUUGAAGGGGACUGUGAAGAACCUUUCUUAGGAAUAAGCGAAGAUAAUUUGAAAAUUUUGAAGAAUGAAGUUAAUUUUGUUAUCCAUCUUGCGGCGAAUGUAAGGUUUGAUCAGAGCCUGAAAAAAGCUGCUAACAAUGUUAAAUGUGUUGCAGAUCUUUUGGAAUUGAGUAAGGACAGUGUUAAUUUAAAGUGUUUCGUUCUUGUAUCGACAGCUUAUUCCAAUUCUAUAAAUUUUCACAUUAAGGAAGAGAUAUACGAUCCCCCCAUGGAGCCCGAACUUUUAUUCAGUAUGGUGAAUGUUUUAGAAGAGACUGUUUUGACAAAUCUUACUCCUGCAUUAUUAGAGAAAUGGCCGAACACUUGAAUUGCUAACUGCAGAAAGGGGACAUGUCCCAUUUUUUACCACAAUAACAUUCGUACAUAAUCGUGUUCUAGAGGUCUAAACACAUCUUUACUGCAAAAACGGGCCAUGUUUAAUGAUUUAGCUCGGGGCUACAAGCGGAUGAAAUUUACGGUUACAGCAGAAAAGGGAUAUGUCCAGGAGAUAUCGACUUUCUGCAGUAAACACCGUGGUCUCAACGUCUUGCGUUAUUCUUAUCCAACACGACACUCAAAAACAUGUCUUACAUGGUAAUUUCUUGUAGAGAAGUAAGAAUUUUGCAAUUAAGUUACGCCCUCUUGGCUCACGACGAAUAAAA